ensembl:lncRNA
CUUGCACAGGGCAUCACUUUGACCCGCCAGUCCUCAGAGGUCAAGGGUCAGGCCCUAGGGGUGAGUGGCUAGAUUUUGUGCCCUGGGUUUUCUUGUUCAUUCUCUCUGAUGCCCACACCAUGUUAUGCAUGACAAGUCUUUAAUAAAUGCUGUCGAAUUAAUGGAAGAAAGGAUAAAUGAAUACAUAUGUGUGGAGUGCCCAGCAUGGAAGCCACCACUAUGAGAAGAAAGCUUUGUUGGAGUCCACCUUAGGGCGGAGAUUCUCAGCAGCAUUGAAGGAGAAGCCUCGGUCUAAAAGACCCCUUCUUGCUUUAGGGACUUACAGGAUUCCUCUGACAGGACUGGGGCAGACAGAAUGCAGAAGCAUGGCGACUCAAGUAGAGAGGCCAAGGAAUGGUCACAGGGUGUCACAGUCAGAAGGGACGUUCGUGUGGGGAGAAGACCUUUGAUCAGCAGCCCCUUCCUUCUCCUGCGGUGGCCUGAACUCGGAGGGUAUAACUGGGAUGGAGCCAGGCCACCGCCUUACGUGUGUGCACACAUGGGAGCAGCCUGGGCCUCCUCGCUGUGGAAUGGCCGGGGUGUCUGCUGUGAUGGGGCACACAUCUCCUUCUUGGUUGAGCAGUAAACAAGGACUGUUCGGUUGGGCCUGUUUCCUUGGAGCAUAUCUUCAUGAAUAUUUGCUGGUGCAGGGAAGUGAUGAAGUACCCAUAGUCCGCACUAUGAAAUCAGAAAGUCUCUGAAGGAAGAAAUUGGCACUCUGCGGCCAUAGUCCUAAGAGAGAAGACAGGAACCAUUUUCCUAUGCCUCCUGUGUGCUGGUCAGAUUAAACGGCACAGAGGGGUGAGCUGCUGAACGCUUGGUUGUAAUUUUGCAAGACUGAUGGCAAUCACUUAUCCUACACCAGCCGUGCCAGGUACUGUUAUAAGCACCUUACGUACUUUAGAUUUCCCAUUUAGGAAAAUGAGGCACAGGGAGACCAAAUCACUUUUCCAUGUUCACACAAGUCGUGAGCGGUGAGAGCCAGAUUUAGAUUUCAGUGGUCUGGCUUCUAAAUCUGUGCUCCUAGCCACUGUGCACGGUCUCCUUGGGAAGACAGCGCAGGGAGGCCCGGGGGACAUCUCCCCAAGUUCUGGCAAAGGAGAAAUGGACCGCCGGAGUUUUAUGGUCAGCCUCCUCAGAAGCACGUCCACAUACUCAAACCGUGUUAUUGGAGAACAGAAUGAAUGCUCAGCAUUUCGAAGGCUCUCAGAACUGAACAGAAGCUCAGGCUGCAGGGCCUGCAGGGGUGGGUGCCUGCAUCUGCCCUGGCCCAGGGCCUUGAGAGAGGAGAACGCCUAUGUGUGUGGCUGGACUGGAGCUGAGAGCUGGGCAAGUGUUGCAAGGCUCCAGCCCUGGGAGCUAAGAAGCAACCACAUGUUGUUAACAGAUUCAGAUGGGCUAGCGGACCCAAAGGGACACAGCAAAUGGGAUAGUAAACACAUGCCCAAGUGCCUGGAAUCAGGCGGAUUGGGGUCCUCGGCCCAGCACUCAGCAGCCACGUGGUUUGGAGCAGCUUAUAGCCCAUGGGGCUCCAUUUCCUCGUCUCUGUAAAUGUGGCUGCUAGAAAGUUUAAAAUUACACGUGUCUCGCAUUAACUGCCUUUUGGACAGCGUUGGUCUGGAACCUGGAAUAACGUCCGACACAGAGUCGCCCCUCAAGAAAUGUCAUUCCCCAGAUGCUUAGAGGCCCAAAAGGGGGAACAAGCCUUUGUCCUCACUCUGGAGAAUCUGAGAGUUUCAUGAAGAAGAGAACAGAAACACCUCAUGUUCAAGGGAACUCGGACCGAGACAAGUCAACAACUAGCCACAACCGGAUAGGGCAUAGACAAUCACAGAACCACAGACAGUGGAGGCCCCCCCGACCUGGAGUCCUCUGCUCCAUGCUCCUGUGGGGCAGCCCCUCCUCGAAGCAGAGUUCUCAGGAAAGAUGAGCUAGGACUUCCUCCAAGUCCAAG